AUUUGAUUUUGGUUUACUUGCCUAGUAGCAAUAAAAUAAGAUACAUUGUUUUAUGAUACAGGGAGGGUUAGAAAAUUCUUAUUUUUUAUUAUUGAUCUCAUCCAUGGGAAGACCAAAUUAUAGGAUUUUGUACUUGCCCUUUCUCUUUCUCUCUCUUUAAAAAAAAAGAGAAAUAUUCAGUAUUUCUCUUAAUGCAUCCAAAUUCCUUUUAAAAAUGAGAACCAGAAAACCUAAAGUAUUACUUGAUAAUUAUAGCAAAUGUUCUAAAAUUUUGUAUGAUGUUAUGGUUAUUGUGAGGGGAAAAAAAGCCAGAGGAGAUAGGAAGAAAAACUGUUAAAAUGAAGAAACACCUAUAUAUGGCACAUACAUGUAUAGACCAGGGUGAAGGCAAAUAUGCAAUAAUGGAAUAAAGCAAAAACAGGUACCUCACAUUCUGUUUGAUAUAAUUUUCCUUUCCAGCUUGCUACUUUGUUUUUUUUUGCUAUGCAAUGUACCCAAUUUAGCUUAACAUUGGUUUUUUAAUUUAUUAAUAGGGAACAAUAAUACAUAUGCUAUGGUGUUACUAGUGGGAUUAAAAAAAAUGAAGUCUUCAUUCUAGAAAUACGUGCUGAGUUCCUGUAAUAGAUACUGCUUUCUGCUGUAGCAAUUUGCUUCUAGUACUUACCCCCGGCUUUAAUCAAAUUUAUCUUAUGUUCACUGCUUAUGCCCAUCUGUCUUGGACUUGACUUUCAUCUUAUGAUACUCUGAAUAAAGAAGCAGAGCUAGAGAGGGAGGUGUUACAGACAGUAAAACACAUUCAAGGGCCUACAUAGAGAGGUGAAUAUCCUGCACAGAAAGGAAGAAGAAACAGACAGGAAACAUGCUUCACAGGCAAUUGCUAUAUCUUUUGCCUUAAAGUUUUAAAAGGCAAGUAUUAGCAAUAUAAUGAAGUCUUUCCCUUCAACGGUGUGUGUGUGAGCUAUAAUAUUUGGCCAAGAACUGGUGAUUUUCAAUGCUGGCUGAAAAGAGACCAGGAGAAUAUGCUGGGCACGGUGGCUCAACGCCUAUAAUCCCAGCACUUUGGGAGGCCGAGGCGGGUGGAUCACAAGGUCAAGAGAUCGAGACCAUCCUGGUCAACAAGGUGAAACCCCGUCUCUACUUAAAAUACAAAACAAAUUAGCUGGGCAUGGUGGCGCGCACCUGUAGUCCCAGCUACUCAGGAGGCUGAGGCAGGAGAAUUGCUUAAACCCAGAAAGCGGAGGUUGUGGUGAGCUGAGAUCAUGCCAUUGCACUCCAGGCUGGGUAACAAGAGCGAAACUCCGUCUCAAAAAAAAAUAAUAAAAUAAAUAAAUAAAUAUAUAUAUUUCAAGUAAUAUUGAGUUAAUGCUUAUAGUUACCUCUGUUGAAUACUUAUAUUUUCAUACACAGCAACAUAGCUACAUGUCCUAUCUCAUUUCAUACUUUCACAGAAACCUUAAACUAGCUCAUUUUUGUUAUUGAUUAAAAGGUGAGGAAACUGAAGCUUAUUAGUCCUGUGUCUACUAAGUGGAAAAGCUAAGAUUGAAAUCUGGUUUGUUUGAUUCUAAAACCUGAGCUUCUGUCUGUUAGGUUAAUUGAUGCUCC
ensembl:lncRNA